rnacentral:rRNA from 1 species
AACAAACGCUGGCGGCGUGGAUUAGGCAUGCAAGUCGAACGGUAUCAUCCUUUCGGGGGUGAGAGAGUGGCGAACUGGUGAGUAACACGUAGGUUAUCUACCCUCAAGACGGGGACAACCCAGGGAAACUUGGGCUAAUACCGGAUGUGAGCAACUUUUAGUUGUUUGAAAGGUGGCGUAAGCUGUCGCUUGGGGAUGAGCCUGCGUCCUAUUAGUUAGUUGGUGAGGUAACGGCUCACCUAGGCAAUGAUAGGUAGGCGGCCUUAACGGGUGGUCGCCCACACUGGGAUUGAGAUACGGCCCAGACUCCUACGGGAGGCAGCAGUCGAGAAUAGUCUACAAUGGUCGGAAGACUGAUAGUGCGACGCCGCGUGAACGAUGAAUCCCUUCGGGGUGUAAAGUUCUUUUAUAUGUGAGCAGUGCUUCUUAUAUUAACAGUAUGGGGAGAGAGAUAUUAGCAUAUGAAUAAGCAACGGCUAACUCCGUGCCAGCAGCCGCGGUAAU